UAAUAGUUCUCUACUUAGUUUUUUCAAAUUAUGCCCCUGGGAACAAAUUUGACCUUGCCCCAGGGGUCACAAAAAUGAACAUAUGCUUAAAUAAGGCCUAUUUUGUGCAAACUUCAAACAUCUUCUUGUUCUUAAUUAUAGAGCCUAGGGCUACUAAAUUUGGUAUGUUGUGAUAUCUAAUAGUUCUCUACCAAAUUUGUUCAAAUUAUUCCCCAGGGCUCAAAUUUGACCCUGUCCCGGGAGGUCACAAAACUGAACAUAUGACGUUUACCAGGGGAGAUUACUGCGGCCGUGUAGCUGUGACCAACAACAACAACAACAUCUUGUAAACAUGAGAUAAAACCCUGUCAUUUAGUGCCAUUUUAGAUCAGACGGUGACUGCUUACAUAGGAAUUGAAUUUCAUGAGAUGGCGCGUGUUCAGCCGAGACUGCGUCACUGUCCGAAGAAAGGGGGAGUGCUUAAUCAACAUUUUCACAACGAGUUUAAGACGAGGAGCAUGGCAAAUAAACACAGUUAACACAAAAAGUCACGUUCCCGGUGUGUCACUAAACAACAGUCGUAGUGUGGUUGUCAAUCACCGUGUUUCCGGUCGCUUGUCUUGGAGAUGUUGCCGGGAACGCUUUUGACAUAACUGGGUGGACCUGCAUCAGGUAUCCGGGCUGUUUCGAUGGUAAUUUGGUGGGUGAGGGGACGCUUUUUUACCGCGAGUAUUGGGUGCUGCUGGAGCCUUUCCGUUGGGGCGACGUGGCGUGUCGGUUCGGACCUCCGGUUCCUCGAUAGCUGUGUCCGAUUCAUCAUCGUUUGAGGCUGAUUGUACCUCUUGAACAGAUUUGGAUUCCUUUGGGGGCUCCGUGCUUUGUAGCGGUUGUUGAGUGUCAACACUGAUGGCAUGAUCUGCAGUGAUUUUCUGGAAGCGUUGAUCAAUGCGGGAGGCAACGUCGGAGUUUCUGGAACCGCGCAAUACACUAUGCCAAUCGGGGAACAAGUUCCUGAUAACCUCGCCGUGAACAGAUAAUGCCGCCGGGAAUAGCAUCUUCACGUUCUUGCUGCCGUAUUUGUCACGAGCCGCCUUGAGAUCAGGCCACAGAUCCUUGCGUGCUUCACUUAUCUCACGUGGAUAGUCUCGCAAUAUUCCGAAGUGUGUGAUUUUCAACAGUUUUGCACUGUCCAUGAUUUCAUUGACAUAGCGAAGGUCAGACACUGUAACAAGUAUCGCCCGACCACAAGUGGUUCCUUGUGAACGGGAAACGAUGCGCCGGCCAAUUCUCCUGGCUUCAACUAAACUGUGUAGAGCAAGAUUCAUAUUGAGUUUGCUUGUCAGGAACUCUCGGAUCGUUUAGACACAAUCAUCCGUACCAACAAACUCGGGGAAUCCAUUAAAAACAAGGUUGUUACGGAGGGAGCGGGCUUCAAUGUCAAGACUUUUGUAUUCAAGGAGUCGAAGACGGGCCUCUGUGACGUCAUGGACUGCUUUUGAGUGAUAAAGACUGUUAUUUAAACAAUCCAAUUUGUAGUUCAUAGCAUAAUUUGUUGAUAUCAUGUCAAGAAGACGGUUUAACUUA